UCAACAUUGCCUUAGAAAGAGAAAAGUAAGAAAAGGCGUAGACAAUUGAAAUGGUAGCCUGAAAUUAUUUACAUUACGGUCCUUUGUGGAUGGAUUAUUAUGCAUCUGUGUAUUGUGUCUCACUGGGCAAUCUAGAAUAUUACUAAUGCGAUAAGGACAUAUGCAUAACAUGGCUCUCUUUAUGUUGAUAAAUAUUUGGACCCUGAGACUAAAUGUGGAGCUGGAUCUUGCUUGCGCCCCACCCAAUCAGCGCGCUCACUGAUGGCACCACGAUCGCACGGAAAACACCACUUGUGACGGAUCAACGAAUACACUGGAAGGAGAAAAAUAUUAUGGGAGUCGGGGUCUUUGGAAGAAUAACAGACUUGUGGUGGGACGUGUAAAACUGUAGCUAUUUUGGGCAAAGCUGGAAUUCUUUAGCAACAAGCCCUUUUUGGCUCUCGGUUCCGUGGGGAUCACAGACAGAUGUCGGUGGAGGAUGAUGCGCUUCUGACGAAGUGCAUUGGUGCUGAGGGUGACGAUACAUGGCUGAACGUAAAUAGCUUUCGCUGAGAUAGCUUGAAAAAUAUUUUAUCUGCUCAUCUGAUAUCAACCGUAGAACUGACGCUAUUAUGGUCACCGACAUGUUCUGAGUAGUGGGAAUAUCGGCAGAGGCGGCGAGAUGAAGGCAGCGGCGAGGCCGAAGCACACUCGGCUCUUCUGGCGGCUAGGUGUCUGUGGAAUGGGGAUGAUUAUAGCCACCUGGCUCUUGCACCUCCUACAUGUAACAGACUCUUAUGCUGUUCAUGACUUCAGCUGGUCUAAGAGAGAACUAAAGCAGGACAGUGAAGAUGAGAACCACACCUCCAAUACCCCUUCAACACCUAGAGCUGGUACACUAGGUAUUCAUGUGUCUGUGUAUUUAUGUGCUCUCAAAUAGUUUCUUUAUUUACCUUAAAUAGUUAAAUUCCUUGC
rnacentral:lncRNA from 1 species